rnacentral:rRNA from 1 species
CCUACGGGUGGCUGCAGUGGGGGAUAUUGCACAAUGGGGGGAACCCUGAUGCAGCGACGCCGCGUGGGUGAAGGAGUAUUUCGGGAUGUAAAGCCCUAUCGGCAGGGAAGAAUUUAGACGGUACCUGACUAAGACGCCCCGGCUAACUACGUGACAGCAGCCGCGGUAAUACGUAGGGGGCAAGCGUUAUCCGGAUACACUGGGGGUAAAGGGAGCGUAGACGGCCAGGCAAGCCUGGAGUGAAAGCCCGGGGCUCAACCCCGUCGUGCCGUUGAAACUGAUGUUCUUGAGUGGGCGAGAAGUAUGCGGAAUGCGUGGUGUAGCGGUGAAAUGCAUAGAUAUCACGCAGAACUCCGAUUGCGAAGGCAGCAUACCGGCGCCCAACUGACGCUGAAGCACGAAAGCGUGGGUAUCGAACAGGAUUAGAUACCCGGGUAGUC